rnacentral:sRNA from 2 species
AAAAAUGUUUUCUAGGGUUCCGCAGCUUACUGUUGGUCUGGUCCGAGAGAAAACUCACAGCUUGCUGUGUCACGGAAGGAUAAAAGCCUGGGAGAA